rnacentral:rRNA from 1 species
UACGUAGGGUCCAAGCGUUGUCCGGAAUUAUUGGGCGUAAAGAGCUCGUAGGCGGUCCGUUAAGUCGGAAGUGAAAUCUCAAGGCUCAACCUUGAAAUCGCUUUCGAUACUGGCGGACUUGAGGCAGGUAGGGGAAGGUGGAAUUCCUGGUGUAGCGGUGAAAUGCGCAGAUAUCAGGAGGAACACCAAUGGCGAAGGCAGCUCGCUGGAACGGUACUGACGCUGAGGCGCGAAAGCGUGGGGAGCGAACAGG